rnacentral:piRNA from 1 species
UACCCAGUCUGGAUAGCCUACAACGCUU